rnacentral:rRNA from 1 species
AGAGUUUGAUCCUGGCUCAGGAUGAACGCUGGCGGCGUGCCUAAUACAUGCAAGUCGAACGCGAGCACUUGUGCUCGAGUGGCGAACGGGUGAGUAAUACAUAAGUAACCUGCCCUAGACAGGGGGAUAACUAUUGGAAACGAUAGCUAAGACCGCAUAGGUACGGACACUGCAUGGUGACCGUAUUAAAAGUGCCUCAAAGCACUGGUAGAGGAUGGACUUAUGGCGCAUUAGCUGGUUGGCGGGGUAACGGCCCACCAAGGCGACGAUGCGUAGCCGACCUGAGAGGGUGACCGGCCACACUGGGACUGAGACACGGCCCAGACUCCUACGGGAGGCAGCAGUAGGGAAUCUUCGGCAAUGGGGGCAACCCUGACCGAGCAACGCCGCGUGAGUGAAGAAGGUUUUCGGAUCGUAAAGCUCUGUUGUAAGAGAAGAACGAGUGUGAGAGUGGAAAGUUCACACUGUGACGGUAGCUUACCAGAAAGGGACGGCUAACUACGUGCCAGCAGCCGCGGUAAUACGUAGGUCCCGAGCGUUGUCCGGAUUUAUUGGGCGUAAAGCGAGCGCAGGCGGUUUGAUAAGUCUGAAGUUAAAGGCUGUGGCUCAACCAUAGUUCGCUUUGGAAACUGUCAAACUUGAGUGCAGAAGGGGAGAGUGGAAUUCCAUGUGUAGCGGUGAAAUGCGUAGAUAUAUGGAGGAACACCGGUGGCGAAAGCGGCUCUCUGGUCUGUAACUGACGCUGAGGCUCGAAAGCGUGGGGAGCGAACAGGAUUAGAUACCCUGGUAGUCCACGCCGUAAACGGUGGAUGCUGGAUGUGGGGCCCGUUCCACGGGUUCCGUGUCGGAGCUAACGCGUUAAGCAUCCCGCCUGGGGAGUACGGCCGCAAGGCUAAAACUCAAAGAAAUUGACGGGGGCCCGCACAAGCGGCGGAGCAUGCGGAUUAAUUCGAUGCAACGCGAAGAACCUUACCUAGGCUUGACAUGCACGGCGGCGCUGCAGAGAUGUGGUGGCAUUUGGUUGGUCGUGUGCAGGUGGUGCAUGGUUGUCGUCAGCUCGUGUCGUGAGAUGUUGGGUUAAGUCCCGCAACGAGCGCAACCCUCGCCCCGUGUUGCCAGCGGAUUAUGCCGGGAACUCACGGGGGACCGCCGGGGUUAACUCGGAGGAAGGUGGGGAUGACGUCAGAUCAUCAUGCCCCUUACGUCCAGGGCUUCACGCAUGCUACAAUGGCCGGUACAACGGGAUGCGACGCGGCGACGCGGAGCGGAUCCCUGAAAACCGGUCUCAGUUCGGAUCGCAGUCUGCAACUCGACUGCGUGAAGGCGGAGUCGCUAGUAAUCGCGAAUCAGCAACGUCGCGGUGAAUGCGUUCCCGGGCCUUGUACACACCGCCCGUCAAGUCAUGAAAGUGGGCAGCACCCGAAGCCGGUGGCCUAACCCCUUGUGGGAUGGAGCCGUCUAAGGUGAGGCUCGUGAUUGGGACUAAGUCGUAACAAGGUAGCCGUACCGGAAGGUGCGGCUG